UAUUUAUGGAACAUACGGAGAAAAUUGUCGAAAUAACUGUAGUGGAAACUGUGCAAAGCAGGAGUAUUGCAACAAAGAAAGCGGGGACUGCGAGGACGGAUGUGCACCGGGUUAUAAAGGCACUAAAUGUGAAAAAGAAUGUGAUUUUGGUAUAUAUGGCGCAAAUUGUGUAAAACUGUGCAGUGGAAAUUGCCUUGAAAAUAAAACCUGUAAUAAGGUUAAUGGAGAAUGUAUAGAUGGAUGUAGAGUGGGUUAUAAGGGAUCUUUGUGUUAUGAAACUUGCGAACUUGGUACAUUUGGAC